rnacentral:lncRNA from 1 species
UUCAAAUCUUAUUCCUAACAACACAUCAAUUGUCUCUGCACCUUAGCUGAAGAAAUUUUGAAGUUCAAUCAAUUCACGUCUUUCCAAAAAUAAUUACAUGAAUAAAUAAAAUCUCAAAAAUGUAGUGGAAAUGUUUUCAAAGCACUCUCUAGUCUCUUUCUUGGAAGGUAAGAAACAUACCAAAUAUAAGAUUCACUAUAACAAACAUUAAUUCAUAUAAACGCUGAAAGCUGGUCCUUUAAUCUUAUACUUGCUGAAUUAUUUUUU